rnacentral:rRNA from 1 species
UACGUAGGGGGCAAGCGUUAUCCGGAUUUACUGGGUGUAAAAGGGAGCGCAGACGGCAUUACAAGUCUGAUGUGAAAGCCCGGGGCUCAACCCCGGAACUGCAUUGGAAACUGUAGAGCUCGAGUGUCAGAGGGGUAAGCGGAAUUCCUAGUGUAGCGGUGAAAUGCGUAGAUAUUAGGAGGAACACCGGUGGCGAAGGCGGCUUACUGGACGACUACUGACGUUGAGGCUCGAAAGCGUGGGGAGCAAACAGG